UACAGAGGUCUCAAGCGUUGUUCGGAUUCAUUGGGCGUAAAGGGUGCGUAGGCGGCGCGGUAAGUCGGGUGUGAAAUCUCGGAGCUUAACUCCGAAACUGCAUUCGAUACUGCCGUGCUUGAGGACUGGAGAGGAGACUGGAAUUUACGGUGUAGCGGUGAAAUGCGUAGAUAUCGUAAGGAAGACCAGUGGCGAAGGCGGGUCUCUGGGCCGAUAUUGACGCUGAGGAGCGAAAGCGUGGGGAGCGAACAGG
rnacentral:rRNA from 1 species